rnacentral:lncRNA from 1 species
GGUAGUAAUGGGGUAGGGAAAGGUAGUAAUAAGGUGGAGGCAGCCUCAAUACAGUGGCUGUAUUGAUGGGUAAUAUUGAGGUGGGGGAGGAGGAGAAAGGAGGUAGGGAAAGUUUAGUAAUCUUGUGGGGGCAAGAGUAGUGGACAUAUUGUUCCCAUAUUUAGUGUUUGUUAGCCUGUACCAAUUAGACUUCUCUAGUUGUUGCUAAUGUUAUUAUAAUGCAAAUACAGGCAUUGAAGUCUCAUCAGAGUGCUUGGUUAUAAGAUGGUCAACUCAAUAAUCCAAACUAUUCUUAACUAGUUUUUCUUUGUUUGUUUUUUUGUUUGCUUUGAAACCAUCUUGCUCUGUCGUCCAUGCUGAAGUGCAGUGGCAUGAUCUUAGCUCACUUCAUCCUCCGCCUCCCGGGUUCAAGAGAUGCUCGUGCCUCAGCCUCCCAAGUAGCUGGAAUUACAGGCAUGCUCCACCACACUCAGCUAAUUUUUGUAUUUUUAGUAGAGAUGGGAGUUUCACCAUGUUGGCCAGGCUGGUCUUGAACUCCUGGCCUCCCAGGACUUCAAGUGAUCUACCUGCCUCAGCCUCCCAAUAAACAUUGAUAUCAAAAUGAAGAGCACAAAUUUUGAAAAAUCCCUAGAGUUCUGCUAAUCCCAGUUUGAACAGCACAGUUUUUUAAGGAUUUCUUCUUGCCUGCAUGCUUUGCUCUAUUUAUUUUUAAGAUUAAUCUUUUGUCGUUUUAACACAUGUUAACAUGGGGAAGUUGUAAUAUUUUGCAAGUUCAAAAAAAAAUGAGGGAAACAUCUUCCAGGCAGAGGAAACAUCACUUGCAAAGAUAUGGAUCAGGAGAAUACAGAGGGUGCAUGUGAGGAGCCCCAGGUAGAGAAGUUUCUAGAACACAUGUUCAUGAAGAGUGGGCAGUAAGGGUAGAAAAACAGCUGUGAAUGAAUGAGGUGCUACGGAGACUCAGAGGAAGAUAAGGGCUGCAAGGAGGCCAUGGGAUGGCAGUUAGGAGCAGCUUCAGGGGAGUGUGAGGAAGGCAGUGGUCUCCCAUGGAACCGGGGGCCGGGCUGUGAAGAAGUGAUGCCUGGGUGAAGGUAGCAGUGGAAAGCUCACCUCCUGGUGGUCACUCUUGUAUUGGGCCCAUUCUGUGUGCCGGGCUCUGUGCCGGGCUCUGUGCGAGUACUGUGCUCCAUCAAGAAACAAGGAAGAUGCUGUCUGCCCCCAAGGAGAUGACGGCAUUUUGAUGAGGACUGGACACUGCAUAAGCAAACAGCACAGUGAUAUCAUAAGUUCUGAUAACCAGAAAUCAGAACUGAGUACUGAGAGGGAAAUAAGCACAGUGGCAUAAUUAAAAGUAACUGCAGGCAGGGGUUCUUUAAAUAGGGGGUGAAGGAAAGUGCUCUGAGGAGGUAAAACCAAGCUGCGAUCUGAAGGUGGAGAAAGACAGCUUGGGAAAGAGUUUCUGAGGCAGAAGGAACAGCAGAUCAAUAGCCCUGAGACAGAUUUGCUGGGUGUGCUGAAGGCAAAGCUAGGAGGCAGAGCCGCUGAACAGAAGUGAGCGAAGAGUGGGCAGCGCCGGCCUGACCAUGGCCGAAUUGGUCCUCAUGCUGUGGGCAGCCAUGGACAGCUCCAAGCAGGGAGGGGCAUGGCCUCUCCUGGCUUUGCAAUCCCUCCGGCUAUGGGGAGGAAUCAAGGUCAUAGAGGUCAGUGUGGAGGCAAGGAUGCAGUUUGGAUGCUGCUGAGGUAGUCCAGGCCUGAGAUGAUGGGUGCCACAGUGUGGAGAGAGACAUGGGCAGAUCAGGCAGUAUUCCCAAGUCAACAUGAACCAGGAAGGUGGUGGACGUCCGGGAGAUAGCAAGGGUGGCUCCUGAGACUUUAGGCUAAGCAUCUGGGUAGACAGCAUUGCAUUUACUGAGAUGGGAAGACUAACGGUGGAGCAGACUGAGGACAGGGCUAGGCAGAGAGCUGUCAGAGGUAAAGAGGAGAACAAUGACUUGAAGGAAGCGGGAGACAUUUUGUUACUAUGGGAGAAGACUGAGUUUGCUGCCACAGAAGGAGAAAGGGCUUCUGGACAGGGAAGGAAAGCCGAACAGGCAAGUGAGAGAAGACAGGCGGGAGGAACUGAGAAGGAGUGAAUUGUGUGGGUAUGGGGUGAGGCACUCCCUUCUCAGAGAUAGACAAUCUGAAAUGGUGAGAACUAAAAUUAGCCCAUCUCAGUCUCUUAGAUGGGAUGCCAAGCCACUUGCUGCCAUUUGUUGGUGGUGUGGGGCCUUGGUUGGUUGCCCUUUUAAGAUGUUUUAAACUGACUGGGUAGCCUGAGGCUGUGUUCCCAUAAUUAACUUACUUUCUACCUAGCUGGUAUCACAUAGGGCCUUCCCAUUCCAGCAAAGCAGCUCGUUUUUUAAAAUUAGAGUCCUAUAUCCAUUGAGCACGUAUUAAGUGCUUACUAUAGAUAAAAAGCUUGGCAGGUUUGAGGGUAGAAACAUAGCUGCGGCAUUGUCCUCAGUCUCAAAGAACUCACAGUCUCGUUAGGGACGGUGACAGCUAAACCAGAGCUGUAAAUCCAGGCAGAAUAAAACAGGACUAGGAAGGGGAUCCCAAGCCAGAGGUAGCAGAGAGAAGAGAACGUAAAAUAUAAUUCUGAUGGGUGGAGGGUGUGGGAGAUCAGAGAAGGCUUCAAGGAGAAGAGAACUUUAGAGAGGGCUGGAAUUUUGCCUCAAGCUGAAGGUGGGAAGGGCACGCUAAUGGGGAAAUAAGGUGAGCCAAAGCUCCUGCCACCUGCACUUGAACACAGUUGAGAAGGGAGUCUGUGAGGAUUGAAGUGGGAAAGGCUGGGAAAACAGGGCUUCUGCUUUGGAGAAGAAACCAUGCCAAUUAAUUGAAAGAAGAAACUGAUGGGGUCAUCUUCCUUUUGGGGUUAUUUUGGGUCUUCUUAUUGUUGACCCACACCCCUAAAUUCACACAGCUUCCAGGUGAGGAAGGCCCCACUGUCAAGAAUGCCUGAGAGCUAAAGAAGCUCAAGUCUGCUGAGGACUCCAGGCUUUCCAAAGCACAGUGGGAUUGCUGUUAAGACUAUUUUCAUUAUUGUUACCAUCAUAAUUGGCAUUUCACACACUACUUGUUAUCUCCUUCCCGUGCUUGGUAGCUUGGAAAUGUUCUGCCUGUGAUUUCUUCAUCUAGGCAGAACCAUUUCCUCCAGCUUCCCCUCUUCCCUUUACUUUGCUUCUUUCUCUUAAAAGGCAGCCUGAGACACCUGAGACAAUGAGGUUUUUUUUUUUUUUGCACCGAAUAGUAACAAGCGUAUUUUCAAAUACUAUAACAAAGAAAGGCAUGUGGAGGAAAGAAAGGCUCUUAAAGAAUUAAAUAAAACUCCACCUUCCUAAAUUUUAAAUCUGUUCCUCCCCCAAGAAAAUACACUUGAACCAUUUUUUGUGCAUGUGGUGAACAAUCCUGCUUGUUCAUGGGUUAGAAAGAGCUUUCAAGAAAACACGAUGCUCCUUUUUUUUGCAUAUGCCAAAUAUUUUCACCCAGGGCGAAAUCAGUUGCUGUUUUAAACAAUUGAUUUUUCUGGAGGAUGCUGUAAAAUAUUAUUGCAGGCAGAGCCUGCCUGGGGCAAAAUUGUGUGAAUGGUGUGAAGCUUGUCUGUGGUGCUCUCCGAACUCCUCUGUCCUAUUUCAGGGCUGGCCUCUGCUGGUGCCUGCCCCAUCCUGCCUGCCGAGGGCAGCUGGGAGCCUGGAAAGAUGGGGUCAGCUCCUGGCUCAGCCACUAACCAGAUGUGGUACCUUGAGCAAGUCUCUUUCCCUCUUUGGGACGUAUUGGAUCCCAAAAUGGCAUCUGACACAGAAAGAAGAUGUGUGACUUACUCAAUGAAGGCUUGGAUUCCAGUAGGAACUCCCAGCAUGCCACAGCACUUCAAGACCAGAAAAUGGAUUCUACCUGUUUUAAGAUUUCCUGUAUUUAGCAAACAUGCAUCGAGUAUUUACUGUGUGCCUGGCCCCAUGCCAGGAGAAGGAAGACAGAAUUGAUGGGGAGUUGCCUAGCCUGGUUGCAUAGAAAAGAAGACACAGAUCCUCAGUGCCACAAUUCACAAAAUGGCCCAGGACAUUGUCACCUUUCCCUUGGAGUUGUCCAGCUUUGUGGAAUUGGAUGAGGGCUGCUGAGGAAUGGUGACAAUGAGGAAUUAACCACUGGUCUACUUUAUAACAUAUGUCCUCACACAGUUCAGUUUUUCUUCAUCUUCCAACUGUUGGAUCCAACUUCCAAUACCACCACGUCUGUGGCCUUUCUGCCCACAGCCAUAAUCUGGUUAGACUGCGGUAUAAUAUAGCUCACAUCAAGGAUAGAGAAACGUAUUCUUGAUUGCAGCUGGGGGUUAUGAGAAGGUGACACUGAUUAGAUCUGCAAUAAACUGAGACCAGCUACCUCAGAGCUAAACAGCCUGCAUUGCCAAGGGAGGAAUGGCGUGCUGUUGGACAAUGUGUCUGUUGAUGCACAUUUUCAUAAAUUGUUUACUGACCCUGUGGGGUAACAUAAAUACUUAGCAGCUAACACACCCCCUAAUUUGUAGUAACAAUCUCUCAUCACAUGCAUACUAUUAACAUAUUAGGCAAUACACAUUUCUGUACUUUGACUUUUUAAAGUAAUAAUGUUCUUGAGGAAAUAGAAAAUCAUGAUCACAAUUUAUUUCAGAGGGUGUUUAGUAAUUUACCAUGCAUCUGUGAAAUGUUACUUAAUCCUGGGUGGUCUGUGUGCAUAAUUAUGUUUUAAUUUGCACAUGAUUGCUGACUUUCAUAUCACUUAAACAAUCAGGAUGCAUCAAAUGACUGGUUGUUGUCUUAUAACAUUUUGUUUUCCCCUUUGGAACUAUUGGAAAGAGACCAUCACAUCCCACAACCAUCUGUGAUAUCGCCUGUGUAUUGCUGAAUAUUGAAUAGAUAUUAUGAGUAUUGAAUUUGGCAUCAUUUCUGUGGUCAUAUUUCUAUGUGAUUUUCAUUGCCUACUGAAAAGAAAAUGAAAAGAGGAAGGAAAAUAAUUAAAAGUUCUCUAGGCUCUGCAGAAC